rnacentral:rRNA from 1 species
GACGAACGCUGGCGGCGUGCCUAAUACAUGCAAGUCGAACGCAGUGGGGACGGGUGAGUAACACGUGGGUAACCUCCCAUCAGAGGGGAUAACACUUGGAAACAGGUGCUAAACCGAUACUGAUGGAUGAACCCGCGGUGCAUUAGCUAGUGGGUGAGGUAACGGCUCACCAAGGCCACGAUGCAUAGCCGGACUGAAAGGGUGAGCGGCUACACGGGGACUGAUACACGGCCCAGACUCCUACGUGAGGCAGCUGUAGGGAAUCUUCGGAAAUGGACGAAAGUCUGACCGAGCAACGCCGCGUGAGUGAAGAAGGUUUUCGGAUCGUAAAACUCUGUUGUUAGAGAAGCGGUAUCUAACCAGAAAGCCACGGCUAACUACGUGCCAGCAGCCGCGGUAAUUC